UGGAGGACUGAGAAGGUAAGACGGUUUGACUUGAUGCUGUAUCUUACUGGUUAUGGCCUCCGACAUUAUAGCAGUGCAAUAGCAACUCACGUUUCCCUCCCUGCUAUGAGGGGAAGCAGUACUGCAUUUG
rfam:Callipepla squamata strain Texas jcf7180005234346, whole genome shotgun sequence.